UACAGAGGUCUCAAGCGUUGUUCGGAUUCAUUGGGCGUAAAGGGUGCGUAGGCGGCGUGGUAAGUCGGAUGUGAAAUCCUCGGAGCUUAACUCCGAAACUGCAUUCGAUACUGCCGUGCUUGAGGACUGGGAGAGGAGACUGGAAUUUACGGUGUAGCGGUGAAAUGCGUAGAUAUCGUAAGGAAGACCAGUGGCGAAGGCGGGUCGUCUGGACAGUUCCUGGCGCUGAGGCACGAAGGCCCAGGGGAGGCAAACGGG
rnacentral:rRNA from 1 species